rnacentral:rRNA from 1 species
UGCGGCAGCCUACACAUGCAGUCGAGCGCACUCUUCGGAGUGAGCGGCGGACGGGUUAGUAACGCGUGGGAACGUACCUUUCGGUAAGGAAUAGCCUCUGGAAACGGAGAGUAAUACCUUAUACGCCCUUUGGGGGAAAGAUUUAUCGCCGAGGGAUCGGCCCGCGUUAGAUUAGAUAGUUGGUGGGGUAACGGCCUACCAAGUCUACGAUCUAUAGCUGGUUUUAGAGGAUGAUCAGCAACACUGGGACUGAGAUACGGCCCAGACUCCUACGGGAGGCAGCAGUGGGGAAUCUUGGACAAUGGGCGCAAGCCUGAUCCAGCCAUGCCGCGUGAGUGAUGAAGGCCUUAGGGUCGUAAAGCUCUUUCGCCAGGGAUGAUAAUGACAGUACCUGGUAAAGAAACCCCGGCUAACUCCGUGCCAGCAGCCGCGGUAAUACGGAGGGGGUUAGCGUUGUUCGGAAUUACUGGGCGUAAAGCGUACGUAGGCGGACCAUUAAGUUGGGGGUGAAAUCCCAGGGCUCAACCCUGGAACUGCCUCCAAAACUGCUGGUCUUGAGUUCGAGAGAGGUGAGUGGAAUUCCGAGUGUAGAGGUGAAAUUCGUAGAUAUUCGGAGGAACACCAGUGGCGAAGGCGGCUCACUGGCUCGAUACUGACGCUGAGGUACGAAAGUGUGGGAGCAAACAGGAUGAGAUACCCUGGUAGUCCACACCGUAAACGAUGAUGCCAGUCGUCAGGUAGCAUGCUAUUCGUGACCAACUAACGGAUUAAUCAUUCGCUUGGGAGUACGUCCGCAGAUAAACUCAAGAAUGACUGGACCGCACAACCGUGAGCCAUGUCUGAUCGAGCAACGCGCCGGACUAACACCUGACUUCGUUGCCUAUAUCGAGAAUGUAUG